AAUGAUGGUCUGGUCGCUUUUCAUGAUAAGCCUUAUGGGACUUUUUGUGUACUCAAAAGCCCUAUAAUCUCCAUAGUGGACUUACCCACUACAGAAAUUAUUAAGCC
rnacentral:ncRNA from 1 species